GGAAGGGGAAGGCGGGAGAGGGCGGGCGGCCGCCGGCUGAGGGGUGCAGUGACCUACCUCAGGGCAGCAGUUUGCUUCUGGAUGGAGACCACCGGUGGCACCUGCAGAGCUGUGUUCCUCCUCCUGCGUUCAAAAUCGCUAGCGGGAGAACAAUGCCGUUAAAUGGAUUUAUUUGAGAAUUAGGUAUUUACAGAGAUUUUAACUGCAGUUAGUGAUCUCCAUGGAUCUUCCAUCAAGUUAGCCCAAAAGGAGCAGAACAAUUUUGGAAGAGACCGUGAACUAUUUCAGUUGUGCCCAGAGCAGGAUGCUAAUGCAGCCUGAAGCUUUGUGUUGGACACCUGGGGGCCAAAAUAUGAUGGCUAAGAAGCCCGGAUCUGAAGCAACUGCAUAUUCAAUGAAAGAACAGGGACACUGUUGGCUGUUCUGCAGAAAGGUAAAUGUUUGCAUCACCUAAUUAAUUUUUUUUUCUGGAAAGAAAUUUAUUAAUUUUUUUCCUGCUGUAACAAGGGUAAAUAGCAUGCAAAUUAGGAAGCCACUGUUAGGUCUAUCAAAACGCAUCUCUGCACAGGUUCACUGAACUCUAUUUAUGAUUUCAGGGUAAUCACUGCAGAAUACGACUCACAAUACAAAUUCCAUGCAGUGUGGAUAUAGGAAUUAUUAGCUAAUACACAUUUAGUCAUGUCUUAUUUCUAGCAGAAACCAGCAGAGAUGAUUUGGAGGAAGGUGUAGGAAACCCGUAGAUAAUGAAUGGUCUGCUAUACAUACUAUAUCUCAACCUGAUCUUAAAUCUGUUUUGAAUGUUCCAAAUAUGAAACAUUACAUUUUCAUAUAUUUCCAACUAUGUUUUACUCAAAGAAAUCACUUGUUUUGAAAAUUACUGGUAACAGUUUAACCACUGAAUCUCUUUUUGAAUCUUGUGAAAGUAUUGGACUCAAUUAUUUCUCUUAACAAUAAGUUCUGUAAUAUAAUUACAUGCUUAUACUAUGUUGUUAUUGCUAUUUUUGCAUUUAACAGGAAAACUUCCUCUUGUUAUCCUGUUACAGGACAGCAGGAACUGAAGUUUAAAGUCUGCCUUUUCUGUAAUAUCAAUAUUUUUAUGUUUUGUUUUGGUUUUUUUAUUUAAUAAUAGGCCUUUCAAGCCUGAUUCAUUUUAAGCAUACGUAUUUCUAUAUGCUUCUUCCCUGGCCCAGGUCAUUGUUCUCACCGCUCUUUUAACUUCAUUUAGCUCUGUAGUAUCUUUAUUGAGAUCUUUGCAGGCAGUAUCAUUACACUUUCUUCCAGAUGAAGAUACCAAUAAUGUUUUCUCUAACGUUCUCCAACUUAUUAUCAUUUUUCUUAUGCAUCCCAACAUUUUGUUUACUUGUUUUGACCACAGCUAAACAUGACUUCAGUUUGUUUUCUGUGCUCAUAUGUUUGUUUAGAAUGCUGUGAAUUCAUGAGGAUGCCCAUCUUUUCCCCUUCCAUAGCACAAUACUUUAUAGUUACUAAAACUGAGUUUUGCUUGCCAUCAGUCUUCCCAUGUGAUAUUGUCUGAUUGGGUCUUCUGAAGUUCUUUCUAACCCUCCAUAACCUUAGUAUAAACA